UACCUACGGGGGGCAGCAGUCGGGAAUAUUGCGCAAUGGAGGAAACUCUGACGCAGUGACGCCGCGUAUAGGAAGAAGUUUUUCGGAAUGUAAACUAUUGUCGUUAGGGAAGAGAAAGGACAGUACCUAAGGAGGAAGCGCCGGCUAACUCCGUGCCAACAGCCGCGGUAAUACGGAGGGCGCGAGCGUUAAUCGGAAUUACUGGGCGUAAAGCGCGCGUAGGCUGUUGUGUAAGUUGGGGGUGAAAUCCCACGGCUCAACCGUGGAACAGCCCUUGAUACUGCGCGACUUGAAUCCGGGAGAGG
rnacentral:rRNA from 1 species